rnacentral:rRNA from 1 species
UACGUAGGGUGCGAGCGUUAAUCGGAAUUACUGGGCGUAAAGCGUGCGCAGGCGGUUCGUUAAGUCAGAUGUGAAAGCCCCGGGCUCAACCUGGGAACUGCAUUUGAAACUGGCGGGCUUGAGUGUGGCAGAGGGGGGUGGAAUUCCGCGUGUAGCAGUGAAAUGCGUAGAGAUGUGGAGGAACACCGAUGGCGAAGGCAGCCUCCUGGGCCAACACUGACGCUCAUGCACGAAAGCGUGGGGAGCAAACAGG